UCCCUGGUGGUCCAACCGCUAAGACUCCAGACUCCCAAUCAGGGGGCCCAGGUUCAAUCCCUGAUCAGGGAA
rnacentral:tRNA from 1 species